rnacentral:rRNA from 1 species
UACAGAGGUCUCAACCGUUGUUCGGAUUCAUUGGGCGUAAAGGGUGCGUAGGCGGCUCGGAAAGUCGGGCGUGAAAUGCCGGGGCUCAACCCCGGGACUGCGUCCGAUACUUCCGAGCUGGAGGUAGGUAGGGGAGAUCGGAAUUCCUGGUGUAGCGGUGAAAUGCGCAGAUAUCAGGAGGAACACCGGUGGCGAAGGCGGAUCUCUGGGCCUUACCUGACGCUGAGGCGCGAAAGCUAGGGGAGCGAACAGG